rnacentral:tRNA from 2 species
UUAAUUGAAACCAAAAAGAGGUAUUUUAUUGUUAAUAAAAUAAUUGAAUUUAAAUUCCAAUUAAA